UUCUGUCUAUCUCGGCGCCUCUCACCAAGCCGCCCCCUCCCUUGCAUGUGACGCAGAUGUGCUCUGGGGCCGUCAGUGUGAAGAGACAGAGGGAAAAGGAGAUGAUUCAAGCUUCAUCAUGCAAGGAAAUAUAAUAUACACACACUAACAAGAGAAGCAUUUCCCUAUUUUCCCCAUCUCUCAUGGAAUGGUGGAUGUCUGGACAACUUCUGACUUCUGACUUCAUGCUCUUUAUGGGAAUCCUAACAAGAAAAUACAUGUACUUAUGCUCUUGGGGAUUUCUGACUGCCAUUUUAAUUUUAAAGUAACUUUAAUGACAAUGAAAUCUAUUUACAAUGCAUUUCAUUCUUUCACAUCUCCUAUCACACUCAGAUAAUGCAUUAAAAAGAAGCAAGCAAAAGUUACACUUUUUUUUUCAGAAAUAUAUAAUUUCUUUAAAAGAAUUCUUCAGCACUGAACAUAAGGCAAUAAAAUAAGCUCUUGUCACUUCUCCUGUCCUUCCUUUUGAAAAGAAAAGAUGCAUCUUUGUCUAUGAUUAUGUGUAGAAAUGGUCUUUUGAUUGUUUGCAUUCAGUGUCUGACCAAAUUAAAAAACUCAAAUAUUUGAGAAUGGUUUUUUGAAUCCACCUAUUCACACUUUCAUUUGAACUGAGUGUCCCAAAGUUUAAACUGCUGGGGCUUUUUCCAUUGGAAAAAAAAAAUGCUGUGUGGUUCAGAUUAGAGUAUUGUAAUUGUAGGAACAACUUGAUAGUUUUCCAUCCAAAUGUCAUGACACUUAAAGUAAUAACUGUUAACACAACAAUUUAAGAUCAAAAAUUACUUGAAAUUUCCAGGCUUUAGGUUCAUAGUGCAAAAGCAGAAAGAUUUGAUUCUAUGGUUAUGGACACUCUAAAAAUUUUUUUACAUUAGUAUAUACCUGAAGUUUCACAUAAUUAUAAUUAUUUCUGUUGGCAGAAUUAUUUUUCUACUGCAUUUUCUCUGAUUUUACCUGACAAACUAUGCCAUAUCUUUAAUCCCUUGCUCACAGCUUUUUAUAGAGGUAGAAUGUUGUGAGAACUUAAAGAAUGCAGUUGCAUUUCUCAAAAUACUGCUAAAGAAGAAAGUUCCAGUAAGAUAAGCCACCGCAUCAGGAACUUGAGAUAAACACAAGUGGCAAAACAGGAAGGCCUUAAUUCCACAUCUAACAAAGGUGAUGACUUGCAAGUUGCACACCAGAGUGUGCAGACAAUGGGAACUUGAGGUAAGACUUAUCUGGACCAAAAAAAAAAAAAUUACGGUUCCAAACUGUUGGGAAGGAUACACAUGCCAUCCUAGAUUGUGGGAAUCUCUGCUCUGUGGAUACCUGGGACUUGGGAUGUACAGAAGUGCUUUUGUACAGAAGAAUGACUCUAGGACCCCACCACACAAGACUGGGGUGAAGAAGGACCAGCAGGAUGCCAAAAAAAUCUACGUGAAAUGUAAGCUAGAAUGUUGUACCAGGCACUUCUGCAAGGAGAAGAAAUAAUUUGUGAAGCAUUGCCUGCUUCUGAGUUCCAAAGUCACUGCCACCAUUCCUACGCUCAUCCAUGUCUCCACCAGCUGACUGUAGAGUGAUGUUGAGGCUGUAACUUCCAUGGCAUCUUAACACCAGAAGGGACUAUUUCAAAGAUACAUUUGAAAACUGUGUCUGAAUGUCAGAGUUGCUGAAAUAUGACAAUUUUAAUGAAUAUGACUCAUGCCAACUUGGAAAAAGAAACCAAUAAUGGACAGCUAAGUGAGAGCUUUGUGUACAUAUUUAAAACUGAAACCAUACCAGAUUAUACUGUUUUCUUUUUUAAAUCUGCCUGCAUAUAAACUCUUCCUUCUUUGUCUCUUAAAAUAAUUAAAUAGCAUCCUAUAAUUUGGCCACAUAGGAAUCCUUUUUCCAUCUGGCCUGUACCGUAUGAAAUUUGAAAUACUUCAUGGUUUGAUAAGCUUGCUUUUUUAUUGAAUACACUAAAGUGCUCUAGAAAAAGAUCCUUAUUGGAAUUCGUAAUGUUGCAAAUGAAGGAUAAAUCUAUAGAAAGUGAGAUGGGAGCUUUCAUUUCUUUAUAUCCAUAUUUAAUUGCUUCUGAUCAAGAAAAGAAAUGAUCAUUACUGGGCUAAACUUCUGCUGAUUCCUUCUGAAAGUUUAUGGUUUUCCUGCUCAGAAUUCAUCAUGUGUUGCUCCUUAUAUGGAGCAAGCGGUAUAAAUCUAAGAUAAAUGAAGUGAAAAUUAUUUUAGUUUAAUAAAAAUUUAUGAAAAGGUAAUUUUGCAAAGAAUGUAUAAGAUUUAGAGAUGGAUGAGCAGAAGGACUGCACAAUUAGAUUCUGUUGAAAUUUACUUAAUAAUAAAGGCAAUACAUAUUUAAUCUUCUUGAAGCAAUGGAUUCUUUAACAUGUAGCACUCGAUUCUCAGCUCAGUAAAUUACAUUUUUUUCAGUUUAUUUUUUAUUUUGUUAAAAGCAGUGAAUUUGUUAAAAGGUUGUGAAUAUUUAAAUUUCUCCAUUUGAUCAUAAAGGCUUCAUGGAAAAAAAAUCAAACUGAAUAAGGAAUUUAACAAAUGCUUCUGAAAAGAAUUUUCUUUCUUCUCCCUAGUGCAUGUUUUAUGUACUUAAGUUUUAUAGCUUUCUCACUGAUACCAUUUAAGAGAGUUGCAGUCCAGCAAUGUGUAUGUGUAUGCAUACAUUGCCAAAUAUUGAGUAGAUGUCAUUUUAUCACAAUAAAUUCAAGAUACUAAUUCAAGUUCUUCCUCAGGUACAGGAAACCAAAUGUCUCAGAUCUCAGGAAAAAUUUUCCUAGCAGUUUAAUCUAUCCCAUGUGUGUGCACAAUCUUUGUUGUCUACCUUUUGCUUUUUUCCCAUCUCCAUAGUUUCAUAAGUCAAAAAGAGAAGCAUUCUGGUACUAUUAAAAGUAAAAAUUGUUAAUUGCACUUAGACAAAUCCUAAACUAUGAAUACCAGCAAUUACAAAGAAAAUUCAAGAAAAGUAUUGCUUUGAUCUCUCCAAAUUAAUAAAUGUUGACAUCAUAUUUCCAAUGGAUCCAGUAUUCUUAUUUCAAAUUAUAUCUGCAGCUGAAAGAUCCAAAGUAUGAAUUGCAUUAAUUGUGUGGUAACAUUUUUGUCAAAAUUUUGUUCUUGGUAGAAGUGAUGAGCAGAUGUGGAGGCUGUCAGGAACACGACCCCACGUGGAGACACUGUUGAUUUUCUUUUCCAGGUGUGCUCCUCUAAAGUGUCUUUAUUGCAGGCUGACUUCAUUAUGCUCAGAGGAACAGGUUUUGUCUACAGUCCUGAUUUAGACUACAAUAUAAGGUACACCCAAGCAGCACAAAUUUCAACAUUAACAUACCUUAUUGUUGCUUUUCCUUUAUCCUGACUCUCUUUUUGCCACCUCUCUUUCUAUUCCCCAAUCUCCUCCUAACUGACCUCAAUUACUUCUUCCCUACUGAUCUCUGUUUUGCUGCAUCCUUAUCCCAAUUUUUUAUUUCUGUGACCAUUUCUUAUGUUGUCUCAGACUCAGUGUAGGUCAUUGCUGACGUAGUUACCUUGUCACUGCUUGCCUAUGACAAACUGCCAUCCUGAAGAUCCCACGUUAUCCCUCCAAUUAUCUGUGAAGUUUGACCAUUUUUUGGAUAAUUGUGCCUUAACCAUCUGUGCACCCAUGCACAUGAAUACCUCAUGGUACUCUCUAAUUCAUUUUAGCUUCUCAUACUGUUACCUCUCACAUCCAGCCAUUUCCCAUGCCAUGCCGUUCCAGCUCAGUUAACUUUAUCUCAAGGCACGGUCAUAGCCAACAGCAUAGUCAUGGGUUUGCAGCCCUGACAAGACUCCACACUUUAUGUAAGUUCACAGCUGUUUAAAGCCAAUCAUCAUGUCUAUGGACACUUAAGUACAGACAUAGUAUUUUACUAUACUAUUAACACAGGCAACUAAAGGGACUAAAAUGACAAUGAUAGAAGUACAAUUUUUUAUGGCAGAGAUAAGAGAUAAAUGCCCCUCACUUUUGUGCCUCUCUUCCGAACAUACCUGUGGUCAGUUAACUUUUCCAGUAACAUCACUAAAAGUAUUUGUCAUUGAGAUAUGUCAGAUAACUAUUAGAACCAUCUGGCUUUGAUUCCUUUUCUCAAACACUCUAGCCUUCCAUAAAAGUUUAUUUCUAUGCUAUUACCAUAUUUAUGCAUCAUCAUUUUACGCCAUGUUUUACUUGUUGCUUGUUUCUUUAUUAACUUUCACAUCAUCUUCUCACUGAAAUUACCCAUACUGUAAAAACAUACUUUCACAUCUCUUAUUAGAAAAAAAAAUUCUCUUCUAGACUUCUAGGUUUCAUUUAAAUGAUUCUUACAAAAUUUGAACAAGGAAAAAAGUUACAAAGCUGUGGCUGAGAAUUUUACAGUCCAUUGUAUUUAUGUUUUCUGUAUGAAGAUUUGUCAUCAAGUAUGAGAAUGAAAGAUUUUAGCUUAUUAAAAACUAGUCUACAUUUGUGAACACUGCAAACACAAUAGAAUAUUUCAUUAUGUUAAAAUGUUAUUAAAAGCAAACUGUGAUUUAAGAAGUUAAUUAAAAAAUGCACUCAAAGUCAA